CACUGUGGAAUUCGCCCUUAGAGUUUGAUCCUGGCUCAGAUUGAACGCUGGCGGCAGGCUUAACACAUGCAAGUCGAGCGGGGGAAGGUAGCUUGCUACUGGACCUAGCGGCGGACGGGUGAGUAAUACUUAGGAACCUGCCUAUUAGUGGGGGACAACGUUCCGAAAGGAGCGCUAAUACCGCAUACGCCCUACGGGGGAAAGCAGGGGAUCUUUGGACCUUGCGCUAAUAGAUGAGCCUAAGUCGGAUUAGCUAGUUGGUGGGGUAAAGGCUUACCAAGGCGACGAUCUGUAGCGGGUUU
rnacentral:rRNA from 1 species